GAACUCACUUCAGCAGCACGUGUAGUAAAACUGGAAUGACACAGAGAAGAUUAGCAUGACUACUGUACAAGGAUGACAUGCAAAUUAAUGAAAUAUUCCAUAUUUUU